UCAGAGGAAACUCCCGGAGGCCGUCAGCGAGGGUUGAGGAAGAAGUGGCAGGAGGAGGCCCGAGUGAGUCCUCAGCGAGUGCAAACUGCUCCCGCAGUCAGGCAUGAAAUAAGAAAAAUGAAAGAGAGGUGUUCAGUGUGCAGCUUGACUAAGAAGUCAGGAAGAAGACAGAUGUGCCUGUUGAAAUUCUGCUCAUUCUUCAAGGACCAUUCAAGGUCACAACUUUUUCUGAAGUCA